ensembl:lncRNA
CCCCACAAGUAGCACUGGGCCCCACAGGAUCCGCCCGGCCCCAUAGGUUACACCCGGCCCCAUAAGUGACAUCAGGCCCCAUAAGUCACAACAGGCACCGUAGGUCACUCCACACCCCCUAAGAUCCACCCAGCCCCACAAGUGGCACCAGGCCCCACAGAUCACUGUAGGCCCCACAGAUCACUGCAGGCCCCAUAGAUCUCAGCAGCCCCACGGAUCUCAGCAGCCCCAUAGAUCUCAGCAGGCUCCAUGGAUCACUGCAGGCCCCACAGCUCUCAGCAGCCCCACGGAUCUCAGCAGCCCCACAGAUCACUGCAGGCCCCACAGAUCACAGCAGCCCCAUAGAUCUCAGCAGUCCCAUAGAUCUCAGCAGCCCCACAGAUCACAGCAGGCCCCAUGGAUCACAGCAGCCCCACAGAUCACUGUAGGCUCCAUGGAUCACUGCAGGCCCCAUAGAUCUCAGCAGCCCCAUAGAUCUCAGCAGGCCACAUAGAUCACUGCAGGCCCCACAGAUCAUUGUAGACCCCAUGGAUCACUGCAGGCCCCACAGAUCACUGCAGCCCCAUAGAUCUCAGCAGCCCCAUAGAUCUCAGCAGCCCCACAGAUCACUGUAGACCCCAUAGAUCUCAGCAGGCCCCACAGAUCACUGCAGCCCCAUAGAUCUCAGCAGGCCCCAUAGAUCACUGCAGGCCGCACAGACCUCAGCAGCCCCACAGAUCACUGUAGACCCCAUGGAUCACUGCAGGCCCCACAGAUCACUGCAGGCCCCACAGAUCUCAGCAGCCCCAUGGAUCUCAGCAGCCCCACAGAUCACUGCAGGCCGCACAGACCUCAGCAGCCCCACAGAUCACUGCAGGCCCCACAGAUCACUGUAGACCCCAUGGAUCACUGCAGGCCCCACAGAUCGCAGCAGCCCCAUAGAUCUCAGCAGCCCCAUAGUUCACUGCAGGCCCCACAGAUCUCAGUAGGCCCCAUGGCUCACUGCAGCCCCACAGAUCUCAGCAGACCCACAGAUCUCAGCAGGCCCCAUAGAUUGCUGCAGGCCCCACAGAUCACUGUAGACCCCAUGGAUCACUGCAGGCCCCACAGAUCACAGCAGGCUCCAUGGAUCUCAGCAUCCCCACAGAUCACUGCAGGCCCCACAGAUCACUGUAGACCCCAUGGAUCACGGAGGCCCCACAGAUCACAGCAGCCCCAUAGAUCUCAGCAGCCCCAUGGAUCACAGCAGCCCCAUGGAUCACUGCAGGCCCCAUAGAUCUCAGCAGCCCCACAGAUCUCAGCAGCCCCAUGGAUCACUGCAGGCCCCACAGAUCUCGGCAGGCCGCAC